rnacentral:rRNA from 1 species
CCUACGGGAGCCAGCCAGUGGGGAAUCUUGGACAAUGGGCGCAAGCCUGUAUCCAGCCAUGCCGCGUGGAUGAUGAAGGCCUUAGGGUUUGUAAAAUCCUUUCGUCGGGGACGAUAAUGACGGUACCGCAAGAAUAAGCCCCGGCUAACUUCGUGCCAGCAGCCGCGGUAAU